rnacentral:rRNA from 1 species
AACGAACGCUGGCGGCAGGCUUAACACAUGCAAGUCGAACGCACCGCAAGGUGAGUGGCAGACGGGUGAGUAACACGUGGGAACGUACCCCUUUGUUCGGAAUAGCCCUGGGAAACUAGGGCUAAUACCGGAUACGGCCGGAAGGCGAAAGGUUUACCGCAGAGGGAUCGGCCCGCGUCCGAUUAGCUUGUUGGUGAGGUAAUGGCUCACCAAGGCAUCGAUCGGUAGCUGGUCUGAGAGGAUGGCCAGCCACAUUGGGACUGAGACACGGCCCAAACUCCUACGGGAGGCAGCAGUGGGGAAUAUUGGACAAUGGGCGCAAGCCUGAUCCAGCCAUGCCGCGUGAGUGAUGACGGCCUUAGGGUUGUAAAGCUUCUUUUACC